AUGAACGCUGGCGGCGUGCUUAACACAUGCAAGUCGAGCGAUGAAGUUUCCUUCGGGAAACGGAUUAGCGGCGGACGGGUGAGUAACACGUGGGUAACMUGCCUCAUAGAGUGGAAUAGCCUUCCGAAAGGAAGAUUAAUACCGCAUAAUGUUGAAAGAUGGCAUCAUCAUUCAACCAAAGGAGCAAUCCGCUAUGAGAUGGACCCGCGGCGCAUUAGCUAGUUGGUGGGGUAACGGCCUACCAAGGCGACGAUGCGUAGCCGACCUGAGAGGGUGAUCGGCCACAUUGGGACUGAGACACGGCCCAGACUCCUACGGGAGGCAGCAGUGGGGAAUAUUGCACAAUGGGGGAAACCCUGAUGCAGCAACGCCGCGUGAGUGAUGAAGGUUUUCGGAUCGUAAAGCUCUGUCUUUGGG
rnacentral:rRNA from 1 species